UACAGAGGUGGCAAGCGUUGUUCGGAAUUACUGGGCGUAAAGGGCGCGUAGGCGGCCAUCUAAGUCAGACGUGAAAUCCCCCGGCUUAACCUGGGAACUGCGUCUGAUACUGGACGGCUAGAGUAUGGGAGAGGUAAGCGGAAUUCCUGGUGUAGCGGUGAAAUGCGUAGAUAUCAGGAGGAACACCUGCGGUGUAGACGGCUUACUGAACCAUCACUGACGCUGAGGCACGAAAGCGUGGGUAGCAAACAGG
rnacentral:rRNA from 1 species